rnacentral:rRNA from 1 species
AGAACGAACGCUGGCGGCAUGCCUAAUACAUGCAAGUCGAACGAACUCUUCGGAGUUAGUGGCGCACGGGUGCGUAACGCGUGGGAAUCUGCCCCUUGGUUCGGAAUAACAGUUGGAAACGACUGCUAAUACCGGAUGAUGACGAAAGUCCAAAGAUUUAUCGCCAAGGGAUGAGCCCGCGUAGGAUUAGCUAGUUGGUGAGGUAAAGGCUCACCAAGGCAACGAUCCUUAGCUGGUCUGAGAGGAUGAUCAGCCACACUGGGACUGAGACACGGCCCAGACUCCUACGGGAGGCAGCAGUAGGGAAUAUUGGACAAUGGGCGAAAGCCUGAUCCAGCAAUGCCGCGUGAGUGAUGAAGGCCUUAGGUUGUAAAGCUCGUUUUACCGAGAUGAUAAUGACAGUAGUCGGAGAAUAAGCCCGACUAACCUCGUCGCCAGCAGCCGC